UACAGAGGUCUCAAGCGUUGUUCGGAUUCAUUGGGCGUAAAGGGUGCGUAGGCGGCGCGGUAAGUCGGGUGUGAAAUCUCGGGGCUUAACUCCGAAACUGCAUUCGAUACUGCCGUGCUUGAGGACUGGAGAGGAGACUGGAAUUUACGGUGUAGCGGUGAAAUGCGUAGAUAUCGUAAGGAAGACCAGUGGCGAAGGCGGGUCUCUGGACAGUUCCUGACGCUGAGGAACGAAGGCCAGGGGAGCAAACGGG
rnacentral:rRNA from 1 species